rnacentral:rRNA from 1 species
AGAGUUGAUCUGGCUCAGGAUGAACGCUAGCUACAGGCUAACACAUGCAAGUCGAGGGGUAGCAGGAUCUAGCAAUAGAUGCUGACGACCGGCGCACGGGUGAGUAACACGUAUCCAACCUUCCGUUUACUCGGGGAUAGCCUUUCGAAAGAAAGAUUAAUACCCGAUAGUAUGCUUUUCCCGCAUGGGAGAAUCAUUAAAGUUUUUCGGUAAUCGAUGGGGAUGCGUUCCAUUAGGCAGUUGGUGAGGUAACGGCUCACCAAACCUUCGAUGGAUAGGGGUUCUGAGAGGAAGGUCCCCCCACAUUGGAACUGAGACACGGUCCAAACUCCUACGGGAGGCAGCAGUGAGGAAUAUUGGUCAAUGGACGAGAGUCUGAACCAGCCAAGUAGCGUGAAGGAUGACUGCCCUAUGGGUUGUAAACUUCUUUUAUAUGGGAAUAAAGGAGCCUACGUGUAGGUUUUUGUAUGUACCAUACGAAUAAGGAUCGGCUAACUCCGUGCCAGCAGCCGC